AGAAUUUCAACCAUAUACAUAGUUCUCCCUUCAUGGAUUGGUGGUGUGGUGAUUGUUGCACCCUUUUAUUCUAAAAGACAAAAACAUGACAUCAAGAACUAGAAAUAUAACAACUGAAAUUUCUCAAUGCCAUAGAAUUAAAAUUUCUUAGAUUAGUGUUAUCGUGCGCGGGCGCGCGUGUAUAUAUAUAUAUAUAUAUAGAGAGAGAGAGAG
rnacentral:lncRNA from 1 species